GGAAGUGAGUGCGACGAGGACUGUGCAGUUAUUGCAAGCAGUGUUGGCCAACUUAAUUUAUCAAACAUAAAUGUAUUGUAGGUACCCAGGACAGUCGCGAAGUGAGGGCGACGAGGACUGUGCAGUUAUUGCAAGCAGUGUUGGCCUACUUAAUUUAUCAAACAUAAAUGUAUUGUAGGUACCCAGGACAGUCGCGAAGUGAGGGCGACGAGGACUGUGCAGUUAUUGCAAGCAGGGUCGGUCUACUUAAUCUAUUUACAAUAGAUGUAUUGUAGGUACCCAGGACAGCCGGGAAGUGAAGGCGACGAGGACUGUGCAGUUAUUGCAAGCAGGAGUGAUAUAUUUAACGGAUGGCAUGAUGCCCCGUGUGCUGCCUUUCAUCAUCCUAUAUGUGAGAUCAGUGAAUCGCAGACGGAGGUGGACAUAAUUGGACGAAGAAAAUGAACUCGUCAAACUCUUCCAUAUUGCAUAUCUCUUGUAUGAAAAACAAGUUCAUAAAAAUAAUUUCUUAAAAGCUUA
rnacentral:lncRNA from 1 species